UACAGAGGGUGCGAGCGUUAAUCGGAAUUACUGGGCGUAAAGCGCACGUAGGUGGCGACGUAAGUCGGGUGUGAAAGCCCCGGGCUCAACCUGGGAAUGGCGAUGGAUACUGGCUCGCUAGAGUGCGGUAGAGGAGAGUGGAAUUCCCGGUGUAGCAGUGAAAUGCGUAGAGAUCGGGAGGAACAUCAGUUGCGAAGGCGGCUCUCUGGACCAGCACUGACACUGAGGCACGAAAGCGUGGGGAGCAAACAGG
rnacentral:rRNA from 1 species